rnacentral:rRNA from 1 species
UAGGGAAUCUUCCACAAUGGACGCAAGUCUGAUGGAGCAACGCCGCGUGAGUGAAGAAGGUCUUCGGAUCGUAAAGCUCUGUUGUUGGUGAAGAAGGAUAGAGGCAGUAACUGGUCUUUAUUUGACGGUAAUCAACCAGAAAGUCACGGCUAACUACGUGCCAGCAGCCGCGGUAAUACGUAGGUGGCAAGCGUUGUCCGGAUUUAUUGGGCGUAAAGCGAGCGCAGGCGGAAUGAUAGGUCUGAUGUGAAAGCCCACGGCUCAACCGUGGAACUGCAUCGGAAACUGUCAUUCUUGAGUGCAGAAGAGGAGAGUGGAACUCCAUGUGUAGCGGUGGAAUGCGUAGAUAUAUGGAAGAACACCAGUGGCGAAGGCGGCUCUCUGGUCUGCAACUGACGCUGAGGCUCGAAAGCAUGGGUAGCGAACAGGAUUAGAUACCCUGGUAGUCCAUGCCGUAAACGAUGAGCGCUAGGUGUUGGGGACUUUCCGGUCCUCAGUGCCGCAGCAAACGCAUUAAGCGCUCCGCCUGGGGAGUACGACCGCAAGGUUGAAAC